rnacentral:misc_RNA from 1 species
AGGAAAAAAUAAAAUUAUCAUCUUCAGUUUU